rnacentral:rRNA from 1 species
AUACGGAGGAUCCGAGCGUUAUCCGGAUUUAUUGGGUUUAAAGGGAGCGUAGGUGGACAGUUAAGUCAGUUGUGAAAGUUUGCGGCUCAACCGUAAAAUUGCAGUUGAUACUGGCUGUCUUGAGUACAGUAGAGGUGGGCGGAAUUCGUGGGGUAGAGGUGAAAUGCUUAGAUAUCACGAAGAACUCCGAUUGCGAAGGCAGCUCACUGGACUGCAACUGACACUGAUGCUCGAAAGUGUGGGUAUCAAACAGGAUUAGAUACCCUGGUAGUCCACACAGUAAACGAUGAAUACUCGCUGUUUGCGAUAUACAGUAAGCGGCCAAGCGAAAGCAUUAAGUAUUCCACCUGGGGAGUACGCCGGCAACGGUGAAACUCAAAGGAAUUGACGGGG